rnacentral:rRNA from 1 species
UUACACAUGCAAGUCGAACGGCAGCAUAGAGAGCUUGCUCUCUGAUGGCGAGUGGCGAACGGGUGAGUAAUACAUCGGAACGUGUCCGUUUGUGGGGGACAACCACCCGAAAGGGUGGCUAAUACCGCAUAAGACCUGAGGGUGAAAGCCGGGGACCGCAAGGCCUGGCGCGAACGGAGCGGCCGAUGACUGAUUAGCUGGUUGGCGGGGUAAAGGCCCACCAAGGCGACGAUCAGUAGCUGGUCUGAGAGGACGACCAGCCACACUGGAACUGAGACACGGUCCAGACUCCUACGGGAGGCAGCAGUGGGGAAUUUUGGACAAUGGGGGCAACCCUGAUCCAGCCAUGCCGCGUGCGGGAAGAAGGCCUUCGGGUUGUAAACCGCUUUUGUCAGGGACGAAAAGGUGCGGGUUAAGAGCUAGCACUGAUGACGGUACCUGAAGAAUAAGCACCGGCUAACUACGUGCCAGCAGCCGCGGUAAUACGUAGGGUGCGAGCGUUAAUCGGAAUUACUGGGCGUAAAGCGUGCGCAGGCGGUUGGGUAAGACAGAUGUGAAUCCCCGGGCUUAACCUGGGAACUGCAUUUGUGACUGUCCGACUGGAGUAUGUCAGAGGGGGGUGGAAUUCCAAGUGUAGCAGUGAAAUGCGUAGAUAUUUGGAAGAACACCGAUGG